rnacentral:rRNA from 1 species
CAGCCGCCGCGGUAAGACGUGGGGGGCAAGCGUUGUCCGGAAUUACUGGGCGUAAAGGGCGUGUAGGCGGCCUGCCAAGUCAGCUGUGAAAUUCCCCGGCUCAACCGGGGGACUGCAGUUGAAACUGGCGGGCUUGAGUGCAGGAGAGGAGGGUGGAAUUCCUGGUGUAGCGGUGAAAUGCGUAGAUAUCAGGAGGAACACCGGUGGCGAAGGCGACCUUCUGGCCUGUUACUGACGCUGAGGCGCGAAAGCUAGGGGAGCAAACAGGAUUAGAUACCCUGGUAGUCCUAGCCGUAAACGCUGGGUACUAGGUGUAGGAGGUUUCAAUACCUUCUGUGCCGCAGUUAACGCAUUAAGUACCCCGCCUGGGGAGUACGGUCGCAAGGUUGAAACUCAAAGGAAUUGACGGGGGCCCGCACAAGCGGUGGAGCAUGUGGUUUAAUUCGAAGCAACGCGAAGAACCUUACCAGGGCUUGACAUCUACCGGAAGACCUGUGGAAACACGGGUUGUCCUUCGGGACUGGUAGACAGGAGGUGCAUGGCC